CUGCUGCGGGCAGAUCCAGUGGAUAUGGGUAUCGACCCCGCCUGCGGUAACGAUCUUGCCUUCGGCGGCGAUCACCUCGGUGGCCGCGCCAAUCGGGAUGGUUACGCCGGGCUGAAUAUCCGGGUUACCGGCUUUGCCCACGGCGACGAUCCGGCCGUCCUUCACGCCGAUAUCGGCUUUGACGAUCCCCCAGUGAUCGACGAUUAGCGCGUUGGUCAGCACCAGAUCCACGCACUCCUGCGCCGUCAUCUGCCCCUGGCCCAUGCCGUCGCG
rnacentral:sRNA from 1 species